rnacentral:rRNA from 1 species
UACGUAGGUGGCAAGCGUUGUCCGGAUUUAUUGGGCGUAAAGCGAGCGCAGGCGGUUUCUUAAGUCUGAUGUGAAAGCCCCCGGCUCAACCGGGGAGGGUCAUUGGAAACUGGGAGACUUGAGUGCAGAAGAGGAGAGUGGAAUUCCAUGUGUAGCGGUGAAAUGCGUAGAUAUAUGGAGGAACACCAGUGGCGAAGGCGGCUCUCUGAUCUGUAACUGACGCUGAGGCUCGAAAGCGUGGGGAGCAAACAGGAUUAG